CCGUUAACGAACGAGACCUCAGCUUGUUAACUAGUGGUAGUAAGCUUCUAUAUGGGUGAAGCUGGAUUUUAUCGUAGAGCUCGGGAAACCGUGACUCUGCGGUUGUCCAGUGGAUCCUUGAUGUCUUGCUGCUGACAUAAAACUUCUUAAAGGGACUGUUCACGUUUAGUGAAUGGAAGUGAGGCAAUAACAGGUCUGUGAUGCCCUUAGAUGUCCUAGGCUGCACGCGCGCUACACUGACGGGAUCAGAGAGUUAUUCUUCCUGGUUCGAAGGAAUCGGGUAAUCUGAAAAACCCCGUCGUGACAGGGAUCGAUUAUUGCAAUUAUUAGUCGUGAACGAGGAAUUCCUAGUAAAUGCAAGUCAUUAGCUUGCGUUGAUUACGUCCCUGCCCUUUGUACACACCGCCCGUCGCUAAUACCGAUUGAAUGGGUAC
rnacentral:rRNA from 1 species